ACAUGCAAGUCGAGGGGCAGCGGAGAGGUAGCAAUACCUUUGCCGGCGACCGGCGCACGGGUGAGUAACACGUAUGCAAUCCACCUGUAACAGGGGGAUAACCCGGAGAAAUCCGGACUAAUACCCCAUAAUAUGGGCGCUCCGCAUGGAGAGCCCAUUAAAGAGAGCAAUUUUGGUUACAGACGAGCAUGCGCUCCAUUAGCCAGUUGGCGGGGUAACGGCCCACCAAGGCGACGAUGGAUAGGGGUUCUGAGAGGAAGGUCCCCCACAUUGGAACUGAGACACGGUCCAAACUCCUACGGGAGGCAGCAGUGAGGAAUAUUGGUCAAUGGUCGGCAGACUGAACCAGCCAAGUCGCGUGAGGGAAGACGGCCCUACGGGUUGUAAACCUCUUUUGUCGGAGAGUAAAGUACGCUACGCGUAGCGUAUUGCAAGUAUCCGAAGAAAAAGCAUCGGCUAACUCCGUGCCAGCAGCCGCGGUAAUACGGAGGAUGCGAGCGUUAUCCGGAUUUAUUGGGUUUAAAGGGUGCGUAGGCGGCACGCCAAGUCAGCGGUGAAAUUUCCGGGCUCAACCCGGAGUGUGCCGUUGAAACUGGCGAGCUAGAGUGCACAAGAGGCAGGCGGAAUGCGUGGUGUAGCGGUGAAAUGCAUAGAUAUCACGCAGAACCCCGAUUGCGAAGGCAGCCUGCUAGGGUGCGACAGACGCUGAGGCACGAAAGCGUGGGUAUCGAACAGGAUUAGAUACCCUGGUAGUCCACGCAGUAAACGAUGAAUACUAACUGUUUGCGAUACAAUGUAAGCGGUACAGCGAAAGCGUUAAGUAUUCCACCUGGGGAGUACGCCGGCAACGGUGAAACUCAAAGGAAUUGACGGGGGCCC
rnacentral:rRNA from 1 species